ensembl:lncRNA
CUUAUUUUUCGUUUAUAUGGGCCGAUGAUGCUGGUCGAUGUGGAAAAAAUAACUGAGUUGUUUGGUGGUGGAGCUACAACAGAGGGCAGCUAUCCACCGGUGUGUGACAGAAAGGACAUGCCGCGAACGAGACAUACAAGGCGGUGAGGCUACCGCCGAUCGUCCGGUGUUUGCUAACGCGGAGGUCAAUCGUGGAUCAGGGAAAGCGAAGGCAGGGCCGUGAGGUGAACUGAAUUUCAGGCGUUAACUACAGCAGUCUUUAAUACCUCAACUCUUGCUUCAGCCAAGGUAAGUGUCCCCUUAUAUUUUCUGUGUGUGUUCAGGUGAUAUCUAGAAAAUAGAGCUGUUGUUUGUAAUUAAAACUUUUAAGAUUAGAUGGUACAGUGUUUUUACUCUCUUCCAAACAGUAAAGUUCCUCUUUGUCUCUCAGUAGGAAAUCUAAACCAGACAGUACAAGGGUACAUUUCAGCGUUACAAGCCAAUCAGUUUGCUAAUUGUUCUGUGAGAUUUGUUUGCAAAGUUUAAGGUGUUAAAGCAGGAGCUGGCAUUCUGCCAGAGCCUCAGCAACAAGACCGCCUCCCAGCAACGAGACUGCCUGUCAGCCUUGCAAGGUACCCAAUUUUCCAAUUACUCUAUAACAAAACUGUUGUGGGCAACAAGACUGUCUCCUAUGUUUGCAAGCCAAUCACUUUGUUCUUGUAAGAUUUGUUUGAAAAGUUUGAGGUGGUAACUGUGAGCUGUGAACAUCCGGGUUUGCUUGCUGCUG